GUAGUCAUCAACAACGUAUUCGAGAUCGUCGUUUUGAAAGUGUUCCAUUUUUCUACAGUCGGGGAACAGGUUACAAGCAAUUUUAGUAAAAAAAAGAAAAAACAAAACAGAGCCUUAAACUCCUAUAUCACUUACCAUCAAUCCAAACAAAAAAAAAAAAAACAUAAGAAACAGUUGUUGAAUGAGGAAAUUGAGAAGAGAAUUUUACAAAGCAACAUAACUUUUUCCUUAUAAAAAAACUAAAAUAUUAAUAGCUAAUUGAGUUAAGUAUGAAGGCAAAAUGCUACGAAAACAACAAAAGAGAACGGAAAGCGCAAAAUCAACGUAAACAAACAAUCCUCGGAGAAAGAAAAUUAAAAAAAGAAAAGAAAUAAGGAGCCAUAAAAUGGUUCAUUUAUGGCCUGCAAAAACCAUUCAAAAAUAUAAAGAAAAAAUGGCAAAGAAGAAAAUGCGAAUAAAGAGAAAAAUUACCUCCAAAGAGUGGUAGACGGUAGAUCACGAAGGCACAAAGAGGUUUAAAAGCAAAAAGAAAGGGAAGAACAGAGAAAACAAGCGCAAAAUAACGGGAAUCUAAACGGUUUACCGGGAAACAAUCAGAGAGAGAAAAAGAAAAUCCGAAACAGUUCAACG
rnacentral:lncRNA from 1 species